CUAUUAAACAAGAUAAGAGUUUUUGGUGGAUGCCUUGGGUCUGGAAGUCUAAGAAGGACGUGAUUACCUGCGAUAAGCCUCGGUUAGCUGGAAAUAAGCUGUUAUCCGGGGAUUUCCGAAUGGGGAAACCCAAUUGAGUUAAUCCUCAAUUAUCAUUUCGAUGAAUCCAUAGUCGAAUGAAGAGACACGCUGUGAAUUGAAACAUCUCAGUAGCAGCAGGAAAAGAAAAUAAAGAAUGAUUCCCUUAGUAGUGGCGAGCGAACGGGGAAAAGCCCAAACCAACAUUUGAUGUUGGGGUUGUAGGACUACUUACACGAAGUUAGAAAAAACUUAAACAUAGCAGAAUAAGUUGGAAUGCUUAAACAUAGAGGGUGAAAUUCCCGUAAGCGAAAUGAAUAAGUCUUCAAGUAGUAUCCUGAGUAGGGCGGGGCACGUGAAACCCUGUCUGAACCCGCCGGGACCACCCGGUAAGGCUAAAUACUAACCAGACACCGAUAGUGAACUAG
rnacentral:rRNA from 2 species